rnacentral:lncRNA from 1 species
CCAUAUUGUUGUCUUUAAAUUGUUUGAUUGCCGAGGAAAGAAUUACUGCUGCUAAAAUACAUUUGAUUAUAAAUGCUGCUCAAUUAAUCCAACUUAUACAUUUUGAAAAUGCUUUGACUUCAAAAUUUAAGUUUAAGUACAGGCUACUUAGAAAUAAAGGUUUUGCUUGUAUUUCCACAGAAAAUGAAAAGCUGUGGAUUCCUUCCAGACUAAUAUGGUUUGAUCAAGCAAGACCCCCUGAAGCUGAGAUGAUACAGCCUUACAGACUACAAAAACAAGGACUUGGGUUUAUCUUGGCAAUGAAACACAACUGCUCCUGGCACACCAAUUACAUCAGAAAGGAGGAUGGACAUCGAAGAAAGUCAUUAUGGAGUUUGCUUUCAACAUGGCAAGAUUAGCCAUUUGGGCAAGAAACUGCUCUUGCCUGGACUGUUUUUUGCUGUAUAAACUGGACAUACAGGACCCACAAGAAAGUGACUGCUGAACUUACAAAACAAGACAAUACUGAAGGGUUCCUGUUGAAAUGGAGAAGUGUGCCAGACACACUGUGGCCUAAAGGCUGAAGAUGGAUGCCCCAAAGUUACAGAGGAACUUUGACUGUCCAGGUUUUGCAGCAGGCAAGAUGGCCCUUCCCUUUAUGGGAGAGCUUGACCCUACACUUAGGAAAUAUGGCCCCACCCACAUCAUAGAUAUACACCUCACCUGGGAAGCAUAGAGCUGACACUGUGGUCAGUGACAGAGGUGAACUGAGUGUGCAUG